GGUUCCAUAGUUCAAUGGAUAGAAUAAGUCUCUCCUAAAGAUUAGAUCCGGGUUCGAUUCCCGGUGGAACUACCA
rnacentral:tRNA from 1 species